rnacentral:lncRNA from 1 species
GCCAUUUUGACAAUGUUAAUUCUGCCUAUCCAAGAGUAUGGAAAAUCUUUCCAUCUUCUAAGGUCUUCUUCAAUUUCUUUCUUUAGUGUUCUGUAGUACUCAUUGUUUUGUUUUCACACUUUGUGAAAUUGAUUCCCCAAAUAUUUUAUGUUUUUUGAGGCUAUUGUGAAUGGGAUAACUUUCCUAAUUUCUCUUUCAGUGAAUUCAUUACUGAUGUAUAGGAAUGCAUUUGAUUUAUGGGUGUUAAUUUUAUACGUGCUACUUUGCUGAAUUAUUUAUUAGUUCUAUAAUGUUUCUGUGGAUUUUUUGGAUCUUCCAAAUAUAGAAUCAUGUCAUCAGCAAAGAGUGAUAAUAUAAGUUCUUCUUUUCCUAUUUGUAUCCCUUUAAUUUUUUCUAAUUGUUCUGGCUAGAGUUUCAAGGAUGAUGUUGAAUAAAAUUGAUGAAAGAGGGUAUCCUUGUCUUGUUCCAGUUCUUAAUCUUAGGCACAAGAACAUAGACCCUGUGCCUAAUAGAAGAAAAAGUAG